AAAAAGUAACUACGUCAUACCGGAAGUAUCACUACCAAGAUGGCGUCUAGUGGCAGCAGAUCUGUCUUGUUUGUAUGUUUGGGGAAUAUCUGCAGAUCCCCAAUUGCAGAAGCAGUCUUCCGGAAGCUGGCGAUUGACGCCAAUGUUGUUGACAAGUGGAUCAUUGACAGUGGUGCUACAUCUGACUGGAAUAUUGGCAGUUUACCAGAUGAUCGUGGGCUUGCCUGCCUAAGCAAUCAUGGCAUUGAGACGAGCCAUAGGGCCCGACAGGUGACCAAGGACGAUUUCAUGAGCUUCGAGUUCAUACUUUGCAUGGAUGAAAGCAAUCUGAGAGACUUGAACAAGAAAGCUAACUCGGUGAAAAACUACAAAGCAAAGAUCGAGCUGCUCGGCUCCUACGACCCGCAAAAGGAGUUGAUCAUUAAAGACCCAUAUUAUGGAAGUGAUGCAGACUUUGAGAGGGUUUACGAGCAGUGUGUACGGUGCUGCAAGGCCUUCCUGGACGCUAACUCCUAACCACCAAGCUUUUGGUGAAAAGAACACAAGUAAUAAAUCACCUUGAAUGAGAGUCAAUGACUUGGCGCGAUCUGAAUGCCGGCGUGUUAAAGCAACCCUGUGAGGACAGACACAACAGGAUCUCAUAGGUCAGAGGCCAACAACAGGGUCAUCACUAAUGCUAGCUAAUGCUAAUCUUUUGGAGGGUAAUUUGCAAAAUGCUCUGUCCCUCAUACAUCAGUGGAUUUAAUCUCCUCUCCCUGGUUACUACCUCCAGGACUUUUUCCUCAACGUCUCCAGGCCUUUAAAAUCAAGAGGCUGAGGAAAUGUAAUUCUCAACAACGUAAUACAGAAAUAAAAAGGAGGUGCUGUAAAUCAUCACGCAUGAACAGAACCAGAGAUUAGCUGACCCGACUGGUUCAGCCAUGGAUCCGACAUCCCUGAGUGAAGGGAGCGUCCACUGGAAGUGAGAUAAAAGGCACGGCUGUGUGGGACGACAGCUGGACUCCGGCUCCCGAUGAUUCCUGAUUCCAUCCAAGGGGACAGAGCUGCUGGUACGGAGGCCAGGUCAGUGCGAUGAUUCAAGUCCUGCAGAUCCCUUUGUCCAAAGUUUCCCUUCAAGCGUCCUCUUUAAAAACUGCAUAGACGCCUUUACAAAUGGAUGAAAUUUCAAGUGUUGUGCUGUGAGAUUGGGUCUGAUUUAAGUUCUACAGGAUCACAUUCAAGUUUUUUUUUUUGUGGUCACGAUGACGUCCUGCUCGUUCAGUCUGACCAGGUCUCUGUUUCACACGGUCCAAGCGGGGGACACUAAAGGACCGACUCUCCGUUUUUGGAGUUCUUUAGAUCCACCUGAGGAUUCUGGCUCUCCAACAUGCUCUGGGCGGCGUCGGGUUCUCCCUUCAGAGCUGCGGCCUUCUCUCUUCUCUUGCGUCUCGCUUCAACCCACGGAAUGAGACACAGCAGGGCUCCGCCCACCAUAGGGGGGAUACCUGCCAGGUAGAAGGCAACGUCGUAGCUGCCCAGCCGGUCCCGGAGGAAGCCUGUGGCGUGAGACAAACACACUUUAACUCUCACCCACGACACAAAGGUGAGUAGAAAUGCAGUGGAUUCGGAGAAGACCAGUCACUAGGAUCCAGGAGCCAUCCCGUGUUUACCUGCGAUGGGGGGUCCCACCACCAUGGGGACGGACAUCAAGCCCAGCAGGAAGCCGAUGGCCUGUGAAACGUCAUUGGCUCCGACCAGCUCAAAGGCGAUGGGAGCCAUGAGGCAGAUGAAGCAGCCGUCGAAGAUUCCCAUCAGCAGGCAGACGGCGAUCAGGCCCCCAAAGAUGUUGCAGAGAGGAAUCAUCUGUGACAUCAAGCCGAUGACCAGGAAGGACGUGACCUGGAGCGGGAGGACGUCAGCGGCGGCGGCGGCGAGCCAGGUACGAGGCGUCUUACCUGCAGGUAAACUUUGUUGACUCCCUUCACGUAGUCCGCCACCACACCGAAAAUGAGGCGGCCCACGAAGGACGUGAUGCCGAUGCACAUGAGCAGCACUUCUUUGUUGACAUCCUGUCCAAAACGCUCCUCCACGUAAGUCAUCUGAGAUAGAAAUACGGCACGGUUCAGGAGCACAACACGGAACUGUUUUCAAGCUGAAGUGAGCUGUUCCCCAUGAGAGGUGUGAGGGCAGCCGGGGUCACGGUGUUGUGUGACCAACAACAGUCAUGGUAUCCUCACCAGCACGUCACCAUCUGAGCGUUGACCGUCAGAGCCAGGAUUUUAACCACAACAUGUUUUCGAGCCGCCGCUAGCCUCACAAAAAUGUCCUGACUAAAGGGAUGUUAUUUUGAGAAUCGCUACUGUUGUGCCACAACAUUGUUCCCAAUUUUCAGUAGAAAAACAAAGAAAACCAAACCAUUGGUGCGAGGUUCUGUUCUGCUUCUCAUCUUUCACAUCAACACAGCUCAUUCUUUAAGUUAAUAUUUGUGUUUCUGAACCUCUGUCACUCCGCUCCUUCCAGAAAAACAGGCUGGUUGAAUGUCAUGGAGAUGUCUGACCACUGGGGGGCGGUAGAGUCACACUCACCAGGUGAACAUAAGGCACGAAGUAGCCAUAAAGUGCAGCAGGGAUCCCAAAAGCCCAUAUGCGGUAUCCCAAAGACUUCCAGAUGUUGACGUUGAAGACCUUGUUCAGGGGCGGGCAGACUCUUCCGGUGGGGCUCUUGGGUUUGGCCGGCAGCAGGGGUCUGUAGGUGAAGCCGGCCAGCAUCAGCACGAACAUGAGGACGCAGAGCACGCGCAUGGUGUUCUGGCGGCCCACGUUCUCCAGCAGGAUGGACAGCACGAAGGGAAGCGUGAUGGUGAAGAUGCUGCUGCCGGCCGUCACGAUGCCGUUGACCAGACCCAGCCGCUUGUUGAAGUAGUGGCCCAGGAUGACCAGGCUCGGCUGGUAGGCGAAGGAGCAGCCGCAGGCGAAGACGAUACCGUAGGAACUGGACGAGCCAGCUGCACAUGCUUCAUAGUACACGGCCAUAUUCAUGUUGUGCUUAUUAUAUGGCUUGUGCAAGCAAAGAGACUUGUUCUUACGUGACAAAAGAGCUGGCCAGCAGUCCGAUCAGGCCGACGGCCGCGCCGCCCACCGCCGUCACUCUGCAGCCCAGGAUGUCUGUGACCACGCUGACGAUGGGAGAGCAGAAGAAGAUCAUCCCCAUGGAGAGGGAGCCCACCCAUGCUGGGAGAUCAGACAGGAAAGUGUCAAAAACACCCAACAAGACAGUCGCCAGGAGAGGACACAGUUAUAUGGAAGCGCUGCGCUGCCAUUCAUCUCCUCAAGAGGCAUCUGUCCAACAGACAAAUACAUCGUUCGGUUUCCAUUGUCCUGCUCCAUAUCAUGUGAAGUGUUUUCCUUGGCUCAGAGUGACAAAAAUAUCGAGCGGGACGAAAUAUUCUGGGGACAGGAAGGAGAUGUCAGGAAAAGCCAACCAUGCAAACGCCAGCACGAAGACAAAUGCUUUUUCCAAAGGGAAAAAAUAACCUUGUGAGAAGUAGUCAGUCACAUAUUACAUUGUAGUUACACACGUCCAAGACUGGACUGGACUUGCUUAUUCCUUUUUCUGCUUCCAUAAGUGUUUUCCGAGGUGAGAAGAGCUCAUGAACAGUGAAGGGAAACAAGUUGUCGUCGUGUGGCCACCUGCUUGCUCAGCACUGUGCGGACAUUCUGUGUGGAGCACUGGUCCAGUCAGCAGACAAACAGGAUAUAUUGUGAGUAGUGAGGCUUCUCCAGUCUCCAGAGGUGAAGUCUCACGUGAGGUUCUACCUGACGACUGAGAGAAAAACAACUCUGACAGGCGACAGAUGUUUUUCUCCUCUGGUGAAAGGUCAAGAGAAUCCUGUGAGAAAGAAGUACAGCAGCUGGAGCCAGAAUGUUUUUUGUUGUCCCUGUUCUGCUUGAGUAAGAUGAGAGUGGCGGAUCAGGUGACAACGGUGUUGUUACUGUAGUUUGCUUUUAAGGAGCUCGGAAUUUAAAAAAACAGCUAUGACGCCACUCAAAAUGGACUGGGGAACGUGACCUUUUUCUCAAGUUCCAGAUAAAGUCUUGACUGUACAUGUUGUUAAUGUUAUUAAAUUAUCAUAUGUUACAUUAUUAGCUUUCAUGAGAGCCACAAAUGUCGCUGUGCAUCAUGGGAACAGAGCAGACACUUUCAUUUAAAAAAGGACAGGAUCAUAAUCGACUGCAAAAUGAGCCGCUGAGGGCGUCAUGCGUUGACUAGUUGUGAUGUCAUCACUGUAUUAUCCCGUGUGCGCACAAUAGUAAGAGGAGGUGACCAUCGUGACCCAAAACACCUGAAGGGACAUUAGAGAUGCACCCAGACUUUUGAUGCUACAUUUUGAGAAAUUCAAAUCUAAAGUUUCACAACUUCUAUACUCUACAAGUGUUUAUAGGUGGAGGUGGGACUGCACCAAGGCUCAGCUCUGAGCCCCUUCUUGUAUGCGAUGGUGAUGGACAGGUUAACAGAUGAGGUCAGACAAGAAGCCUCUUGGACAAUGAUGUUUGCAGAUGACAUUGUGAUCUGUGGUGAGAGCAGGGAGCAAGUGGAAGAUAAGCUAGAGAGGUGGAGGUUUGCCUUACAAAGGAGAGGAAUGAAGGUUAUCCGCAGUAAGACGGAAUCCAUGUGUGUGAAUGAGAGGGAGUCAAGUGGAUGGGUGGAGUUACAGGAUGCAGAGAUAAAGAAGGUGGAGGAUUUUAAGUACUUAGGCUCAACUGUCCAGGAUGAUGGAGAGUGUGAGAAAGAGGUGAAGAAGCAGGUGCAGGUACGAUGGAAUCAUCGGACAAAAAUGUCAGGUGUGAUGUGUGACAAAAGGCUGUCGGCAAGGACAAUGAAAGGGAAAGCAUCCAAAAUGUUGUAUGGUUUGGAAACAGUGGCACUGAGGAAAAGGCAGGAGGCAGAGCUGGAGGUAGCAGAGAUGAAGAUGCCAAGCUUCUGUCUGGGAGUGACCAGGAUGGAUAGGAUCAGGAUGUGGUCAGGUGUUUAGGAGACCAAGUCAGAGAGGCUAUAUGCAGAUGGUUUGGACAUGUACAGAGGAGAGAGAGAGCCAGUACAUUGGUAGAUGAAGAUGUUGAGGUUGGAACUGCCAGGCAGAAGGUGGAGAGGAAGGACAAAGAGGAGAUUGAUGGAGGUGGUGAAGGAGGACAUGAGGUUUGUAGGUUUGAGAGAAGAGGAAGCAGAGGACAGGGUGAGAUGGAGGAGGAUGAUCCGCUGUGGCCACCCCUGAAGGGAGAAGCGGAAAGAAGAAGAAGAAGAUACAUAUUUUUCUUUUUCUAUUUAUUUACAACAACCCAAUCAGACAACCUCAAAACAUCAGAGGCCGAUUACUAGAUUAAGGUAGACUAGUCGACUAUGAAAAUAUUCGUUUGUUGCAGCCCUACAUGACUGACAGUACGACUUUUGUAAAGGCUUAACAUGUUCAGAUAGAAUUGGCGAUGAGGACUUUCUGUUUCAGGGCUAGUUUCCCACGGUCGGCUGAUUAUCAGUGAAUAAACCAGAGCAAAUGUUUCUUGUCCCAAAAAGCAGCAAAUGGCUUCCAGACAGCUCCACUUCAGCGUGUGACACGGCCAUCAGUCACUUGAAGCAGGUGGUUGGUGAGUUACAUAUUAACUCCUGUCAACACCAAGAGCAGCACUUUCUCAAUUUGGCUGAAUAAACAGCGGGUGAAGCGUGGCAUGAGUAAGAAACGUGUUUGUCUUGAAAAGAAUUGAAGUAAACCAGUAAGAUGCACAGGCAUCAGACAUUUAAGGGUCAAGCCGCCCUCAGAUGUCACCAGUAAUGGACGUACAUGGCAUAGAUGUUGAAGUCAUGAGCUAAUCAUUAUUUGCUUUUUCUCUUUCAGUGACACAAGAGGAUCUGUUUGAUGUUCUGUUUGGCCUUACACUGACCCAAGGUUCAGAUCAGCACAUGUAAGACACAAUGGAAAAACACAAUCAAUAACUAAUGGAAGGGUCAAAAAUCUAUAUAUUUUUUCUCUUUAUGUUACAUGUAUUUUUCAAUAUCCUCCACUAAGAGUGUGUUACUCAAAUUUUUCAGCAUUUUGAAAAUGCAGUUUUUCAUCAUCUAUCUUUUUCACGUACCCAGCAAAAAUAUAAUAUUUUGAGCUGGCUCAGCAGGUUUUCACGAGGGCACAUCAGGCACUGGUGGGAGGAGUGUUUAGGAAUAAAACUACUGAUGUAUUCUGCAGGUAUUGCAUCAGACGCUGUCAGCAGGUGUGUCAACUCCACCCCGUCCUCAGCAGGACUGUGCAAUAACUGACUCCAGUCUGAAUUCAGUUAUCUGCCAGCUCCACGUGGUUUGAGAUUCCUCCCUCAGGGUUCGCUCAAAUAUAUAG